GGGUUCCUUCGUAGCUCAUCAGGUAGAGCAACCGCUACCGCGGUUGGCAGCCGGUUCGAUUCCGGCCGAAAUCCA
rnacentral:tRNA from 2 species